AGAGUUUGAUCCUGGCUCAGAAUGAACGCUGGCGGCGUGCUUAACACAUGCAAGUCGUACGAGAACGUCUUAGCUUGCUAAGAUCAGUAAAGUGGCGCACGGGUGAGUAGCGCGUGGGUAAUCUACCUUCGAAUCGGGGAUAACAUUGCGAAAGCGAUGCUAAUACCGGAUGAUAUCUUUGGCUCCCCGGGGCCUUAGAUCAAAGAUGGCCUCUACUUGUAAGCUAUUGUUUGAAGAUGAGCCCGCGUCCCAUUAGCUUGUUGGUGGGGUAACGGCCUACCAAGGCGACGAUGGGUAGCUGGUCUGAGAGGAUGAUCAGCCACACUGGAACUGACACACGGUCCAGACUCCUACGGGAGGCAGCAGUGAGGAAUUUUGCGCAAUGGGGGAAACCCUGACGCAGCAACGCCGCGUGAGUGAUGAAGGCUUUCGGGUCGUAAAGCUCUGUCAAGUGGGAAGAACCUAUAUAAAGCCAAUACCUUUAUAUACUGACGGUAUCACUGAAGGAAGCACCGGCUAACUCCGUGCCAGCAGCCGCGGUAACACGGGGGGUGCAAGCGUUAUUCGGAAUCACUGGGCGUAAAGAGCGCGUAGGCGGCUAGGUAAGUCAGAUGUGAAAGCCCGGGGCUCAACCCCGGAAGUGCAUCUGAAACUGCUUGGCUUGAGUAUGGGAGAGGGAAGUGGAAUUCCUGGUGUAGAGGUGAAAUUCGUAGAUAUCAGGAGGAACACCGGUGGCGAAGGCGACUUCCUGGACCAAUACUGACGCUGAGGCGCGAAGGCGUGGGGAGCAAACAGGAUUAGAUACCCUGGUAGUCCACGCAGUANACGUUGUUCACUAGGUGUAGCGGGUAUUGACCCCUGCUGUGCCGCAGCUAACGCAUUAAGUGAACCG
rnacentral:rRNA from 1 species